AUGACCCAAUAUUGCUAUAAGGUGCUAAUGUUAACUGUCAAUUUACCACCUAAAAUUUUCAACAUUCAUACUUUGGUCAACGUUUCAAGCUUUAAGCUGAGUAGACUAGAUUAUACACCACUAACUUGUUGGUGUUGUUUUGAAUUUGCAUCAAUUUCUACACACAAAGGGAAGACUUGGAUGGCUUUGCCGUGUCAACUGAAUUUGGUAUUUGAUAAAAUGAAAAUGAUUGGUACAAACUCACACAAACACAAUGGAGAACAGACAUGA